CAGGAGCUGGGUCCCGUGUUGGCUCUGUGACAAAGAAAUAGAACUGCUUUCCGAGGAUAAGCGCCAUCUAGAUCAGAACUAAAUCCUCCUGUGAUCGGUUUGGGGCUGAUUUCCGUGCAAAUCGGAAAUGCCUGCCAACACUUACAGCAUCCCCAGGAGCCAGGAUGUUCACACGUCGGCGCGUCUCAUCCCCAUAGCAACCUGCUCACAUGGGGACGAUUACUCUCUCCACUCCCCAGAGAGGGGCGGCUGGGAUCCGAGCAGGACUCUCCUGAGAAGGAACUUGCCAAGAGAACUGAGAAGGAACUAUCCAAGAGAACUGGGCAGAGGCUUGGGCUUGUUGGGACACAGCCUCGGAAUCACACAGCAUUCCUGCUGCCGCAGUUGUAGCGUAAGCGUUCUAGUUUCGCCAUCAGGGAUCAAACUCCGGCCCCCUGCCUUGGGAGAGCGAAGCCUUAACCACCGGACCACUAGGAAGUCCGAGCACUGGUGGUUUCUUCAGGGUUCCUGAGUCUGAGAACACCUGUGUUAGACGAAGGCCUUUGUGAUCACUGGGCUAGACGACCUUCCCUCUCCAGAAACCCACAUGCGGGAUCUCGCUCCCUGACAGAGGAUGGAACCCGGGCCCCCUGCAUUGGGAGCAGUGUCUCAGCAGAGUCUUAGCCACUGGACUACCAGGGAAGUCCCGAAAAGACAUUCUUUCUCCCACUGAAUGCUCUUGGCACCCUUGUUGAAAAUCAGUUGACCACAGACACAUGGGUCUAUUUCUGGAACUCCAUGUUUCUUUUUUAUUGGUCUCUAUGG
ensembl:lncRNA